GGUAAAGUGGCUGAGAUAGGCGGUAAAUUGUAAAUUUACUUAGGAGAUUAAUCUCCUUUACCA
rnacentral:tRNA from 1 species